GACGAACGCUGGCGGCGUGCUUAACACAUGCAAGUCGAGCGGAGCGGCGAACGGGUGAGUAACGGGUGAGUAACUGCCCCCCUCCCUGGGAUAACAGUUGGAAACGGCUGCGAAUACCGGAUAGUGGGGGAUGACUCGCGUCCUAUCGGCUUGUGGGUGGGGUAGUGGCCUACCAAGGCGACGACGGGGAGCCGGCCUGAGGGGGCGACCGGCCACAAUGGGCUAAGAUAGGGCGCGAAGGCGAAGGGGGGGCAACAGUGGGAAAGAGUGCACAAUGGGGGAGACCCUGAGGCAGGAACGCGCGGGCGGGAUGGCGGCCAUCGGGUUGUAAACCGAUUUCAGCCAUGACGCGGUAGUGGCAGAAGAAGCACCGGCUAACUACGUGCCAGCAGCCGCGGUAAUAC
rnacentral:rRNA from 1 species